CUUGGCUGGUGAUGAUCCUGCUAGUGACGGAGGAGAGCGUGGAGAGAGCGAAAUGAGUCCCGAUUCCGUUCCUGUGUCUCCUGGUGAGCCUGACCCGCUGCCCCAGUUUAAAAGGCCUACAGGGGUUGCCGACAUUAGGGAGGAUAGCAAUGUAGGACCUGAUUCCGCAGAUUCAGAUAACUUGCAGGAGGCAUACGUGGAUUUUGGGAAUAAAGAGGCUAACACA